CUGGGACAUUUUAUAAAUCUUAGAAAAAAUCAUAUCACUAUAAGUGUAGAAAAUAUGAUUUACUGGGGUUUAUUCUUUAUCGUCACUAUUCAUGGAGUUUGGAGUGAGAUCAAACUGGACCAGUCUCCCUCUGAGGUGAAAAGACCUGGAGAGACAGUGAAGAUGUCAUGUAUCAUAUCUGGGUUUGACAUGACAAGCUACUACAUGCACUGGAUAAGACAGAGACCAGGGAAAGUUCUGGAGUGGAUUGGGAGGAUGAACACAGGUUCAAACUCUGCUAGCUAUUCCAGCUCCUUUCAAAGUCGUUUCAUCAUGACUGAAGAUGUACCCAGCAGCACUCAGUACCUCGAGGUCAACAGCCUGACAGCAGAAGAUUCUGCUGUUUACUUCUGUGCUCGAAGAGACACAGUGACUGAAGACAGUGGAGCAGCUGCACAAAAACCUCCACAGACAACAAACAGCAGUUUCAGUUCCUGAGCAGCUGUUUUCCUCUCGAGGCUCUAAGUCGUCUUCAAACAUCUGCAAACAUGGAAACUGUUAAAUGUCUUUAAUGCAAAGCUGCAGACAGUUCUCAUAUUAUUUACAUGGUCCUCACUGCUGUCACUGUAUUUCUGUUUGAAGCAGAUACAGUCAGUAAGUACAGUCAGUGAGCAAAUUAAUGAAUAAAUUAAUGCUGCGAUAUUACAACAGCCAUUUUGUUUUUUAUUAUCCUCAUACUGUACGUUUGAAGUUAACAAUGAAUGUGAUGAA